GCCAGGGGACUGGUUGGCUGAUUGUAGGAAAGGGCAUUGAAACAGAGGGGAUUAGGGUAUUGAGCUAUAUUAAAGAACAAUUGAAGAUGUUGAAUGUUAAAGAAAAAAAGUCCAGUCUUCAGAAAGACAGAGAAGGUUACUAAAAAGUUAACAGGAAGGGAUGAUGCCAUUAACAUAAAGCUGUUCUUGCUCUUUUGCCUUCUGCUGACUUGUUGCAGAUGGAUACAGAGACUGGAAGCUACAGUUCAAGGUGACAGAGCCCAAAAAAGGUAGAGCUGGGGUCCUCCAACCACUGUUUGAAUGACAACUUCCUGCUUGAAAAUUUAUGUAAGCAAGAUAUCUACUUCUACUUGAGUGUGUGUGUGUGUUUGUAUAAAUAUA
rnacentral:lncRNA from 1 species